GGGGUUGUGGCUCAGUGGUAGAGUGCUUGCCUAGCAUACAUGAGGCACUGGGUUCAUUACCCAGCACCA
rnacentral:tRNA from 1 species